rnacentral:rRNA from 4 species
CCGUUCCCAUACCGAACACGGAAGUUAAGCUCUCUAGCGCCGAUGGUAGUUGGGACCUUGUCCCUGUGAGAGUAGGACGUUGCCAGGC